CACGGAUGCAUUAAGAGUUAGAAGAGAUCACACAGUAAACUACCAGAUCUAAGUCAAAGACAUAAAGCACUGCUGGAAAACAGGUCAGAAUGCAGUGAUGAAGGUCCUCUCCAGAUGCCAAGCAGAAGCUGGCCCCAUGCUUAGAUUCACUAGCCUUUAGAAUGGUAACCUAAAUAAACUUGUUUUUUAGAAAUUA